rnacentral:rRNA from 1 species
GAUGAACGCUGGCGGCGUGCCUAAUACAUGCAAGUCGAGCGAACAGACGAGGAGCUUGCUCCUCUGACGUUAGCGGCGGACGGGUGAGUAACACGUGUAUACUCUACCUAUAAUACUGGGAUAACUUCGGGAAACCGGAGCUAAUACCGGAUAAUAUAUUGAACCGCAUGGUUCGAUAGUGAAAUACGGUUUUGCUGGCACGUAUAGCGGGAUCCGCGCCGCUUUAGCUAGUUGUUAAGGUAACGGGUUAUCAAGGCUACGAUGCGUAGCCGACCUGACAGGGUGGUCGGCCACACUGGAGCGGGAACAGGGUCCAGACUCCUACGGGAGGCAGCAGUAGGGAACGUUCCGCAACGGGCGAGAGCCUGACGGAGCAGCCGCGAGUGAGUGAUGAAGGUCUUCGGAGCGGAAUGCUCUGUUAUUAGGGAAGAACCGAUGUGUAAGUAACUAUGGACGUCUUGACGGUACCUAAUCAGAAAGCCACGGCUAACUACGUG